GAGUUUGAUUAUGGCUCAGGAUGAACGCUGGCGGCGUGCCUAAUACAUGCAAGUUGAACGGACUUGGAGGGUGCUUGCACCUAACAAGUUAGUAGCGAACGGGUGAGUAAUACAUAAGCAACCUACCUAUUAGACUGGGAUAACUAUGGGAAACGAUAGCUAAUACCGGAUAGGUAACUUGAAGGCAUCUUUAAGUUAUUAAAGGUUAGAGACACUAAUAGAUGGGCUUAUGGCGUAUUAGUUAGUUGGUGAGGUAACGGCUCACCAAGACGAUGAUACGUAGCCGGCCUGAGAGGGUGAACGGCCACAUUGGGACUGAGACACGGCCCAGACUCCUACGGGAGGCAGCAGUAGGGAAUUUUCGGCAAUGGGUGCAAGCCUGACCGAGCAACGCCGCGUGAGUGAAGAAGGCCUUCGGGUUGUAAAGCUCUGUUAUAAAUUAAGAAUGGCUAUAAGGGA
rnacentral:rRNA from 1 species